rnacentral:rRNA from 1 species
ACCUGCCCUAUGAUUAAAAAUUAAAUGGCUGCGGUAUUUUGACCGUGCAAAGGUAGCAUAAUAAUUAGUUUUUUAAUUGGGAACUGGUAUGAAAGGUCGAACGAGAAAGAGACUGUCUCAAUUUAAUUUAAAUUAGAAUUUUAUUUUUAAGUAAAAAAGCUUAAAUAUAUUUAAAAGACGAGAAGACCCUAUAGAGUUUUAUAUUAAGAUAGUUAUAUAGGAAAUUAAAGGAUUAUUUUUUUUUGAUAAUUAUUAAAAUAUUUGGUUGGGGCGAUUGAAAAAUUUAAUAAACUUUUUUUAAAUUAUAACAUUGAUUUAUGAAUAAGUGAUCCAUAUUUAAUGAUUAUAAGAUUA